AAAGCGAGAAAGUGGAAGUAGAGAGAGAGUCAUGUUAGGCCGCUGGUGUUCAACGAAAAUCUGAAAGAUCUGAUCACAAAAUGGUUUUGAAUUUCGGGUUUGUAUGGGAAGCAUUACGCAUACCAUGGUGGAGAGCAAACAAUAAAUCAUACCACAAUGAUUUCUCCUCUCAUGGUUUUCAUAUCCGAGAUCCAGACUCUCUGAUCGCCUUUCAUCUAUCAAGGAAUUUAUGUAUUGAUCCUAAGAAUAAAGCAUUUAGGUCCCCCUGAGUUACAGGCAAAUCUACAUGAAAAAAUCACACGAUGGUCGAGUAGUUGCCAUUAAAUACGGGAAGGGGCAGAGGCGGCUCGUGAAGAGAUGGUCAGGUAGUUGCGCCAUGGAGUGUUAUUCCAGAACACGACUGCAAGAUAUCUUGCCAACUUAUCCUCUAAUUCAUUCAAGAUAUCUUGGUCAACGUCAUAUCGAGCUUGAAAGCAAAUGUCUCUAUCAUUUCAGUGAGACAUAUAGAACACCAUCUAGUAGAACCCAAGACUUUCGUGGAAAAGCAGCAAAGAGGCCAGUGUGAGAUGCCCACUAAAUUGUAAAAGCACAAUGAUAACGCAGAGGAGCAAUAAAAUCGGAUGUUAUAUUGUAAAUCAAUAUCUUCUAAAGGAAAAUUUGCAUGCUAAUUAGGAAAUGGCUUGUUGAAAAUUUCACUCA